GCAAGAUAAUGUACUACUGUGCUUUGAGCUAUGAUACUAAUAACAAUUUGCCUAAUUACACAGAUAUGGUAAAUGGACACGGUUCCAUUGAGCCUUGCAAUGCCAGACCAUAUCUCAGAUCAGUUUAUUUGUGUGGCUUCAGGCCCCCGAGUUUGCAAAUAAGUGUUUUAUGUGCAACAAGAAGAUGUGUCUCAAAUGUGCUAAACAUGUCUUGGGUGGAACUGUGCCUUUCCAAAAAAUAUUUUAUUCUAAAGUAUUCUAGUAUUCUCUUGGAGUAUGAACACCACAUUUCCUUCAAAACCAACCAGAGCAAUCAGCAUGCAAUUGUGUGAGAGAUGGAAAAGAGUCAACACAGAGCCACAAUCUCUUCACUCGUCUGCAAUGAAUCUGUGAGGGGAAAAUAACACCCUAAACUGUGAUUAUCUGAUAUUUUAUAGCAUAGGCUUUAUCAUCCUCUCUUAAUAUUCCACACCUUUCCCCAUCUUUUAUGAGGCCUGCCAUUUGAUGUUUUCCACACUAUACAUAAUUUGUCCACAGUUUAGAAAUCUGACUCAGCAUGAUACCACAUAGAUUGAGAGUAUAUGGUUAUAUAUGAGCAGAUGUAUCAUUUAAAGCUCUUCUCCACAGUAUGGAGAAAUAUUUGAAAGCACAGCAAAAAAAAAAAAAAACAGUUAGCUGAAAAAGCUGCUGAAAAACAAUCUUCUCUUUAAAACCCCCAAAAUAAAUAAAAUAAGCAAACAAGUAAAUAAAUAAACAAACAGAAGUUUCCCUGCAGCCGCCUCCCUAAACUUUGAAUUAUGCUCGCCGGAGCUCUUGAGUAAUGACUCAUGCAUCUUGAUUAAUAAGAGUCUUAUGAGUCCACUGUCCCGUGCUCCAUCAAUGUCCGGAUCGCUGUGAGAACACUUUGGCAUUCUACAGACCCUGUGUGGGACCCAGCAUCACUUUCCCAGGGCCCUGCUAGACACGGUGCUGUUGACAACACAUUAAACUGGGGAGGGCAUUACUGGAGUUAGUUUUCUAUUUAUGAAGUGGACACGAACAGAAAGCCUGCAAUCCAGAGCUUCCACUGGUGUAGUUAGUCAGUGUGUUCAGCUUACAGAUCAGGGUGUGGUGUUUUUUUUUCUAUCUUACCUAUC
ensembl:lncRNA